GUGUAUGUAACUAUUUUGGACAGACUCCAUGUUCCUCAGAUGAUGUCUCUUAAUGACUUUGGUGGUCCCCUGGUUUUUUGUCGAGUGCCACAAUGAAGUUGACCUUUUUGGUUUAUAUUACUUUCCUAAAACAAGGAUGUUGGGACUGAUGAUUAUUCUGAGAUUAGAGGCGCAAAUAGAGGUGCUGAGAACAACUGCAUGAUUUAAAGGGACUGAUUAUGAAUGAUUGAUAUAAAAUCUUGUAAUUAAAAAUAUGUAGCUUCUAUUUCAGAUGCAGGUGGAUCCCAGGAUGUCACAUAUUCUUCGAUUGAACUUAAAAACUUUGGAAAGAAGAGGAGCCAACAUGAACCAGAGGAAAGAGCUAUUUACUCUGAUGUGAAAACAGCUACUGCAGGUACAAUCUGAUGUAUGCCCAAGUCAACCACCACGAUAAAGGCAAAGCCAAGAGAAGCAAAGGAAAAUCACCUCCUGCAGCAACUGCUGACGCUGUUUAUUCUGAAAUUAAACCAGGAACAGCUCUCGGUAAUAAUGCUGCCAUCUGAUGUGCUUACUGUAAGGACUUAUUCUACAAAUAAUCCAUAUGUCUUUAAUAACCGUAUAUAUUUUUUUCUGGUUUUACUCCAGGUCUAUAAAAAGAACUGUAUCAUCAAAGAAAUAAUGUUGACAGCCUUUCAUUAAAUUAUCUUUCAUGAAAUUAUUGUGUGCUGUCCAAAUAUAAGAUAUGUUCAGUACGUUGUACAGUUAAUUUCUUAGUAUAAUAUACAUUAU